rnacentral:rRNA from 1 species
AGGAAGUGGGGAGUGACGUCAAGUCCUCAUGGCCCUUACUGGGUAGGGCUUCACACGUCAUACAAUGGUCGGUACAGAGGGUUGCCAAGCCGCGAGGUGGAGCCAAUCCCAGAAAGCCGAUCGUAGUCCGGAUUGUUCUCUGCAACUCGAGAGCAUGAAGUCGGAAUCGCUAGUAAUCGCGGAUCAGCAUGUCGCGGUGAAUACGUUCCCGGGUCUU